UACCUGGUUGAUUCUGCCAUUUGUCAUAUGCUUGUCUCAAAGAUUAAGCCAUGCAUGUCUAAGUAUAAGCAAUUAUACCGUGAAACUGCGAAUGGCUCAUUAAAUCAGUUAUCGUUUAUUUGAUAAUACCUUACUACUUGGAUAACCGUGGUAAUUCUAGAGCUAAUACAUGCUGAAAAUCCCGACUUCGGAAGGGAUGUGUUUAUUAGAUAAAAAACCAAUGCCCUUCGGGGCUCUUUGGUGAUUCAUGAUAACUUUACGGAUCGCAUAGCCUUGCGCUGGCGACGGUUCAUUCAAAUUUCUGCCCUAUCAACUUUCGAUGGUAAGGUAUUGGCUUACCAUGGUUUCAACGGGUAACGGGGAAUUAGGGUUCGAUUCCGGAGAGGGAGCCUGAGAAACGGCUACCACAUCCAAGGAAGGCAGCAGGCGCGCAAAUUACCCAAUCCCGACACGGGGAGGUAGUGACAAUAAAUACUGAUACAGGGCUCUUUUGGGUCUUGUAAUUGGAAUGAGUACAAUUUAAACCUCUUAACGAGGAACAAUUGGAGGGCAAGUCUGGUGCCAGCAGCCGCGGUAAUUCCAGCUCCAAUAGCGUAUAUUAAAGUUGUUGCAGUUAAAAAGCUCGUAGUUGAAACUUGGGCCUGGCUGGCGGGUCCGCCUCACCGCGUGCACUCGUCCGGCCGGGCCUUCCUUCUGAAGAACCUCAUGCCCUUCACUGGGCGUGUUGGGGAAUCAGGACUUUUACUUUGAAAAAAUUAGAGUGUUCAAGCAGGCCUUUGCUCGAAUACGUUAGCAUGGAAUAAUAAAAUAGGGCGUGCGUUUCUAUUUUGUUGGUUUCUAGAGACGCCGCAAUGAUUAACAGGAACAGU
rnacentral:rRNA from 1 species